GUGCAGUUUUAGUUUAAGUGUUGUCUAUUUUUGAGUAUCAAUUCAAAGAAAAUCUUUUAAAAUAUAAUCCGUCAUAAAUUUAAUCAAUUAAAAUCCUGGAGCUCGGAAUGGUAUCAUUGAAAAUUAGUUAACCAAUAAAGUGGUUAGAAAGAAAGUGUUAACAUGGCAAAAAAUGAACUCUCAAGGAACAAUGAAAUUAUGAGGCAAUUAAUUAGCAGAACUUGAGGCUUUUUACCAGCUAUUAUUAUUGUAACAAUUAAUGAAAGGUUAAAACAAAAAGCAAAUGUUACAGCUAAAUUGAUUCACCGAUUUAACAGGUUGAUUUACCAAAUUUAGUUAUAACCAUGCACAUCAGAUGGCGUUACUUUUUCAAUGGUGGUUUCGCUUUUAAUUCAAUUUAAAUUAACAGAAAAAUCUUUGAUUUGUUUCGUGUUUAAAAACAAUUGACACAAGAUUGAUUGAAUAGUGAGCUUGAACAAUGAGGAAAACAAAAUAAGGAAUUUGAUUCAGUGCAUUUCUACCUGAUAAAAGUGGACGAUCCAUUGAUAAUGUUAAAUUUAAUCGAUCUCUUUGAUUGCUAAAACCAAAGAGUAAUUAUUACUCUUUGGCUAAAACACACUGUAUUAAUCUAAAUUUCAUUGUAUCUUGUCCAACAUAAACUUUAAUAUUUAGCUCUAAAUGUUCAAAUUCAAAUUCUCACAAUACUUCUUACCGUUAGAAAAUCAGUUUUUAUCACGUUCUUGAAAGAUUUGACUCUACAGCUGUUAAGCUGUAAACUAACCUAUUAUUAAUAGUUCAAAUGCAAGUAAAAAUGUUUCUUUUAUUCACUAUAGAAGCCUUUUUUUACAAAAUUAUUUCAACAUUAAGCUUUAAAUCAAAUGAAAAGAUGAUAUUUUUCAUUGCUGAUCUCAGAUUUUUUUUCACUUUAACAAGAUUCGCUUUAAACUGGCACGACAGUAAAGUGGUGAAAAAUACCCAAAAGAGUUUUACUCUCAACAAUACUAUCUUGAAGCGAUCAUCAUCACUCUCAUCUCAUGAUUAACUUGAACAACAACAACAACAUAUCAUAUCAAACUGGUGACCCUUUACAUGCCUCUUUUGCCCAAUUAAUCUUGUACAAGAACGGAAUUCCAGAAACAAGCUGAAAGAAUCUGGUCAUACCUGUGUGAGUCUCAGCAUGAACAUGUGAAAGAUAAGAAUGGCUGGAAAGAAGCAACAGAAGAAGGAGCAGAAGAUGAAGCAGAAGAUGAAGCAGAAGAUGAAGCAGAAGAUGAAGCAAAAAAAGCCAAAAGGAUGAUUCAGAAGAUACCCUCAAGGCCGUUGUAAAGUUUAAAUGAUGCUUUAAAAUCAAUGAUUAAACCACUGAAAAAAGGUCAGGCCAAGACGUAAUUGUCCAUUUAGGCUGUACAAUCAAUCUUGAUGCCCUUCCAAUAUGGCUAAACUCAUGAUUUAUACCAGACUUGUGCUUAAGGCCAAACCGAUUUACAUGUACAAAUGUUCACCCAAUGGAGUUGACCUGACUCAUGAUCUCUCUGGAAAUGGUCACUAUAAUGGUUGCGUCUAAUGGACAUUACAGCCAAGAUGAAGACUAGACAGACCAAGAUGACAAAGCCAAGGACCCAGUAAAGACAUUUUCACCAAGCGAUCCACACUUUUCUCAGGCCUUUGCCUUUUCUUUUCCCAUUAACAUUUGCUAUUACCAAGUGUUACACAAUUGCUGCUUGUUGCUGUUGAUCAGCUAGCACAAUUUAUUAAUUAUUUCAUCCCAAGUGGCUUGGUUGAUAAUAAUGGAGAGCAAAUUGAAAAACGAUUAAGCCUCAAUACAAUUAUAAUAAUGAUGUUUUUUGCUUGAGUUGCAAUGUAAUGAUGAAAAAUGGAGGGAAGCAAGAAAACAUGAAAAUCAUUUAACCUUUUCAUUAUAAUUAUUGAAAAGAUUACAUGUAAAUUAUCAUUAGCAUGGAGACACAAAAUUAUAUUUUUAUCAAUACAAAUGUUCAUCAUCUUUCCUUUAUUAAUAGCAUUUGAAAAUGGCUAUAAAAUUAUCUUUUCUUUAUUUUCAUUCAUCAAUCGUUGGAUAUUGUUAAUGUUCAAAGGGCUUAUUAAUUGUAUAUUUAUUCAGUGUAAAUUGAAGUUUACCUCAAUUGAGUGACUGUGAUUGGCGAAUUAUGUUAACCUUUUCAAUUUACUGGUUCAAACGUAAAGGUUAGCUUAAUUGUCAGUAAGGCAUAGAGAAAAAAAUGAAAUAAUCAUUUGAUUCAAUCGACUGUAAUGUUAACCAUGUUUUUGUUUGUACCUUUGAUUGUCUCUUAAAUCAUUUAUUGUUCCAAUUGAUUUGCUCAGCAAAUGAUAGACUAUGAACUUUAUCCAAUUUUUCAUUUAUCACCACUCAUUGUGAAUCUGUCUGUCCAUUAAUCGAUGUAAUCUAUUAAGAUUUUCAAAUCUUUCAACCGCCAUUUGUAGUCUGGUGCUGAAAUUGCCAGUCAAACAACGCUUUUCAUAUUGAAUAAUUUCUCAAUUCCAGUGAUAAAUUGUCAAUUAUGUGUAUAUCAAGAUGAUAAUUAGAAGCAUUAGCUAGUAAACAAUUUGGGAAUAUUGACCUUAAAGCCUAAGGGCGUUAAGAGCAGCGUGAAAGUGAAAUUGUUAUUGACAAAAAAUGGCUAAAUAUCACCAAGGAAAAGGUUGACUAUUAAUAAAAAUGGGAUUCGGUUUAAUAGUUGCGGGUAAAUUGUUUGUCCGUGCUUUAAACAUUUCUUAUCAAUUGUAAAUUAAAAUCAUAAUUGUUAAGGUAGAGUCAAGUGUUUGAAUCAGCAAAAAUGGUAACGUUUUUUUUUGCUUGCGCUUAACAUGCAGCUUGGGAAAUCAGCUUUGUUGACUUGACUCAUUGUGUUUCCUUUGUAUAACUUGGUCAAAUCGUCUUUGGCUUGUCUCUUCAUCAAUCAAUUAUAAUUCAACGGAAA